CGGGGCCUGGGGCGGGGACCCGGGGAGGGGUCUGGGGACCUCACCGGGCCGUGGGAGCCGCCGGCGGGAACGCGGCCGGUGUGGCGCAGGGGCGGGCGGGGACCCGGGGACCCUUCCCGGCCCCCCAGAAAAGCAGCCUCUUCCCGACGCGGGGGAGGAGCGGGGCCCCCUGGCUGGGCCGCGGGGGCCGGGGGGAGCCCACGCACCUCGCCUUCCCCGCCGCCCCGGGGGGACAGGACCCUCCCUCCCUCGGACCCUCCCGCCCCCCGCCGGCCCCCAGCCGGCCCCCAGCCUGGCUCUUUAAGUUACUACAGAAACGCGAAGGUCGGGAGGCCCCCUCCCAGCCCGGAGCUUGAACUUGAACGCUCGCGCAGGACCACACCGCCACCUCCCGGCGCGGCCCUAGAACCCGGAGAAUCCGUUCAAAGCACCUAGAAAGUCUUAAGAAGUUUUUAGUAAAUUAUUUCCCGGUGCAUUCCUUCACGCUGGGAGCGUGAGCUGUCUGCAUGUGGGGUGUAAGGCCCUGUUCCGGGUCCAGGUGAAGAAUCCACGGGAGUCCUGACUGCCAGGAGCUCCGCAGCCAGACAUCAGCCUUCACCAAGUUGCUGAUGGAAAACGUGCUCCUGCAAUGUGUAUUUAUGAGCACCAGGAAACCUGGGUGGGAGCGGGCAUGGCGUUGUGCAUCGCCGCCGGGACCGCACAGCUCUGAACAGCCGCGGAGAGCAGGAUGGAGAAAUGGCGUGUGGCCGUAGUCAAAGGACCGGGUCCAGCCAUUCACAGAAAUCCCCAAACAGGCCAAGUUAAACUGCAUUGUUUAGGGAUGCAUCAUUAGGUAUUCGCAGGUGCCUGCCCUCUCUGUCUCUGUCUCCCUCACAUAUCCACAAAACUCGUUUCCGCUGGAAAUCCCUGAGGCCCAUCUGCCCUCUGUCAGCUACUGCACGCCUCAGUAGAGGCCCAGAAGCCUCUGGCAUCACUGGCCUGCCUGCUGCUCCUCUGAGCACUGCUUUGGGGAACUGUGUUACAAGAAUUUAGUUCCAGAAGGCAAGAUAAUGUCUCUGAGGGCUUCACUGUGUCACUUCUCUUUGGAUGGCAGACACCAUGGCCCUCUGCUGGCGGAGGGGUGCCAUUGCUGCCUGCCCCUUCCCCAUCCCCAAGGCCCAGCCAGUCACUGGGUUCGCCCUUGGGGACACGGGGUUCCCUUCUGCUCUCUUCCUAGAUAAGCCCAUCCCUCUCCAGGUUUCCACCCUCCACACCUGUGUUCAGGAAUUCCCACUUUCUGCAGCCCCAUCUCUACCCUCCUCCCAAGCUGCGUUUCUUCCCGGCGUUCCUCACCCAGCAUGGCUAACAGAUCCACCACCCACACGGGAGCUGAGCCCUGCAGUCCCCUCUGCCUGCUGUGUCUCCUGCCAUCAGUGAACCUGCUUCAUUCAUCUGACUGCACCUCUCGGUGCUUGCUGGGACAUCCCUCCAGCCCUUGCUGUUCUCUCCCCCAGACACGUCUCAGGCCAGGAUGGCGACUGCGCCAGCUCUGGGUUUUCUGGGCCCAGUGUUUCUCCCUGACACCACUGCUUCCUCCGUGUUUUAGGAUCCUGAUGCCUUGAUAAGACCGCGGGCUCUAAUCACAGCCAGGGACAUCCGCGGCAGCCUGGCCUGCAGCUCUGCACACUGGACGCACCCCAUCUAGAGCGCCGACUCACAAGGAGUGAGAACGAAGGAGGGAGGGAAAGCACAGAGCAAGCUCCUGAGGACACAGGGCCGAGAAAGCCCUUGGCUUUGGAGGCGUUUGUUUCUUCAAGACUAAAAUGCUCGCACUGGAAUAAAUCAUUUGUUCCUAAAACGUGUUCUGCACAUGAUUAAAGAAGCUUUGUGAAGUGAAGUAAAUUGGGAAGCACUGGAUCAAACAACAACAAAUGAGUUUAUUGUCUGCAGGCCUUCUCAGAGCCUUCAGCAAGGCGUGAAGAACCAUGCUUGUAUAAAGAGGAAGGGGAGGACGAGACUGUGCAACGUGUCCAUAAGCCAUUUGGCCACAGAAGCCUUUUCUCACAAGGUACCUCAAGGUUUCACAGAGCGUCGUUUAGGAAGCAGAGAUUCAGGAAGGACCGGAUGGCCCGGUUGCUGGACGGAGGGCUCUUCAACGAUUCUUUUCGUGUUCCUCUUGUUUGUGAAUGGCAGUGCUUACAGCGGUCGUCCAUCCCAUGAGGAGUAGCUGAGAAUGGAAGGAAAUUCUUUUACAGUGACUCAGUGCUCUGACCCCUCCCAGGCUAUCCUCCAAAACUCACAUGGUGCUCUCCAACCCAUAGCUGGUAACUCGGCUGUCCUGCCUCAGGGAGAUGGAAGCUACGACUGAAGUCACCUGGCUUUCAAAAGGAUCAUUCGUGACUCUAAUUGAGUCCGGGUGACUGCAUAAAGGUGUGGUAGAUGAGAUUACUGUCCAAAAGUCACCCUCCUGGCCCUUGCAGUUGAUUUCUCACCCCAGUGGCUCUGAGCUCAACCACGUGACUAUCGUUGGUCAACAGGGUGGCCUUCAGAGGCUGACGUGCAGGUGCCCCAUCUGGUGGCAGGGUUGGUCCCAGCCAGGUGGCCUAGAGAAACCUUCCUCCCUGCAUCCUCCUCAGCCUGGUCCCUGAGGGAAUCUGAAGCCAGGUUCAUCUGGAAGCAGAGCCUCUGAGCCACAUGCAGCUGCAUCAACCAACCACCACCAGCUAACGCACAGAGGUGGAGCGAAGGGAACGCGUGUUGUUACACAGAAAAAGCUGAGUCAAAAUCCCAAGGUACCUUUUAAAACAUGGAAGCUGACAAAUUGGUGCCAAAAUGUAAAUAUAACUGCAAGUGACUUAGAAGGUCAGAAAUAAAAUAUAUUGGGGAAUAACAAAAUGGAUGAUUUGCAAUAGCUAAUUUCAUGACUACAUUUGAUUUCAAGAGUCAUUAUAAAGCUAAAGUAAUCAAGACAAUGUGGGGUACACAGAAGAAUAGAUGAGUUGAAUAGGGGAACAGAAUAGCAAGUCUAGAAAUAAAUCCACAUAAAUGGUCAAU